CUGAAGUGAGCCUACUUGAUUUUUCUAAUAGCAACUCUAACGACUUGGACAUGUUGCUCUACUCAUAAAAUAUAGUUAUGAUCUAUGGAAAACAGUAAGCAAAUUAGAGGAUGAAUUGGAUAACUGCAUGCAUUUUCCUAAAGGCAGACAGAAUGAAAUGUGGAAAAUAUUCAGCCUGAAGAUAAUAGAUAUAAGACACGGUGAACCAUACCAGUAAUAAAUAUAUUAAACUUUUAGGUAAUGAUAAAUCUUACUGGUGAGUUCUGCAGCUACCUCCACAGCAUGUAGAUUCAGGUACAGAGUGCUUCAUUAUGUGCACGAACAGAAAUGCUUAAAUGGAUGAAGCAGCUAUUUACAUCUGAUAGGAGCUAAGUGGGACAUUAAAUUAAUGCCAAACAAGGAUAUUGGUGUCCUCUGAGUGAACCAUACACAUUGCAGAUUCCAACAUUUGUGAAAGAAAAGAGCUUCUGUCCUUUUGACUGUAAAAGGAAACAAGAAGAUUGCCAGAAAAACUCUGCUUUUUACAGAUCCUCCCAAGGGCAUGAUGUAAUUUCUAAUACCUAAAUUAUGAUCAUUCCUCACACCAAGUAAUAUUAUACUCAGAAAACAUUGACAAAACUGUUUGACAUCUUGUAGACGGCAGUACUACCAGGGUAAAUUCUCAUGGAUUUAAGAUCAGUGCUUUAUUGUACUAGUGCCAAAAGAGUAAUAUCAAUUUGAAUAAUCUAAAAAUUUGUCUCAGUUGGGAGAAGAGUAGCAAAGUUUAGCACACUCUUACUUGAUUAACUCAACAUACUUAUCAGCUCUACUAACUGUUCUUGCAAACCUCAGUUACUUAUUUAGAGGUGCACAGCUGGAAACUACCUCUGUGUUUUGAUUUCCUCCAGUUGCAGGUUAUUUCACAAAUCUCAGGAUGUGGAAGACGGAAAACUUUGACUCUAAAAUGUUGGUCUGUAUUUUCUGGAGUUUCAUCAGCAACAGGA
rnacentral:lncRNA from 1 species